rnacentral:rRNA from 1 species
UACAGAGGUGGCAAGCGUUGUUCGGAAUUACUGGGCGUAAAGGGCGCGUAGGCGGGAUGGCAAGUCGGUCGUGAAAUCCUUCGGCUCAACCGAAGAACGUCGAUCGAUACUGCUGUUCUUGAGGGUUGCAGAGGAGACUGGAAUUCCCGGUGUAGCGGUGAAAUGUGUAGAGAUCGGGAGGAACACCGGUGGCGAAGGCGGCUCACUGGCCCGGUACUGACGCUGAGGUGCGAAAGCGUGGGGAGCAAACAGG